rnacentral:rRNA from 1 species
CAGCCGCCGCGGUAAUACGGAGGGUGCAAGCGUUAAUCGGAAUUACUGGGCGUAAAGCGCACGCAGGCGGUCUGACAAGUCAGAUGUGAAAUCCCCGGGCUUAACCUGGGAACUGCAUUUGAAACUGUCAGGCUGGAGUCUUGUAGAGGGGGGUGGAAUUCCAGGUGUAGCGGUGAAAUGCGUAGAGAUCUGGAGGAAUACCGGUGGCGAAGGCGGCCCCCUGGACAAAGACUGACGCUCAGGUGCGAAAGCGUGGGGAGCAAACAGGAUUAAAUACCCGUGUAGUCCCUGUCUCUUAUAC